GCCAGGCAUGAUGGCAGGUGCCUGUAAUCCCAGCUACUCAGGAGGCUGAGGCAGGAGAAUCGCUUGAACCUGGGAGGUGGAGGUUGCAGUGAGCCAGGAUCGGGCCACUGCAUUCCGGCCUGGAUGACAGAGUGAGGCUCUGUCUCAAAAAAAAAAAAAAAAACAAAAAAACAGGGCCUCACUUUGUCGCCCAGGCUGGAGUCCAGUGUUGAAUGUUGGCUCACUGCAACCUCUGCCUCUUGGGUUCAAGCAAUCCUCCUGCCUCA
rnacentral:sRNA from 1 species